rnacentral:tRNA from 1 species
GGAGGGUAUAGCUCAGUGGUAGAGCAUGUGCUUAGCAUGCACAAGGUCCUGGGUUCAAUCCCCAGAACCUCCA